GAAGGGCUUCUGAUUGCUUAUUGCACCACAUGUGUUUUUCUUUGAAACAAACUUGCUUUGGCGGUGGGCCCAGCCUGCCGCCAGAGGUCUAAACUUACAACCAAUUUUUUAUCAACUUGUCACACCAGAUUAUUACUUAAUAGUCAAAACUUUCAACAACGGAUCUCUUGGUUCUCGCAUCGAUGAAGAACGCAGCGAAAUGCGAUACGUAAUAUGAAUUGCAGAUAUUCGUGAAUCAUCGAAUCUUUGAACGCACAUUGCGCCCUCUGGUAUUCCGGAGGGCAUGCCUGUUUGAGCGUCGUUUCUCCCUCAAACCGCUGGGUUUGGUGUUGAGCAAUACGACUUGGGUUUGCUUGAAAGACGGUAGUGGUAAGGCGGGAUCGCUUUGACAAUGGCUUAGGUCUAACCAAAAACAUUGCUUGCGGCGGUAACGUCUACCACGUAUAUCUUCAAACUUUGACCUCAAAUCAGGUAGGACUACCCGCUGAACUUAAGCAUAUCAAUAAGCGGAGGAA
rnacentral:rRNA from 1 species